AUUUAAAUCAGUCACUACAGCCAUGUUGCAGCAAGAAGAUAGAAGAGAGAUACAUCUAAACUUUACAAUAAUCACGGAUUCCAUUUCAAAAUUAUCUUCCAUUUCUCUCCUUCCAGAUGAACCACCAUAAUGUCGUAGGGAUUGUGUUCCAAACCAAGGUUCAAGCCUAUACUAAACCUUUCCUGUACCGGCAGAGCAGAGGACUUCAUGAGUUAAAAAAAGACCCAAGACACUGAACAUUACAUUCCAAAGUUGGGAGGUGAAACUGCAGCAGAAGAACAGAUGGUUGACAUCUUCACUUCCUUUUUCACAGAGAGCACACCUGUCGCAAAUGUUAAAGCCACUUUUAUGGAGAUUCUUUUAAGUUAAAAACAUCUUUCGUGUUUAAUUUUAAUUGGUCCUUGAAAAUAAGGACUAAAGUUCUUCAGAAGUAGCAUCUCAAGUUACUCAUUCAUGAUCUGCUCCGUAUUUAGAGUAAUUGAUCAUGAAGAUGAAGGACUACAUAGAUGCUUCCACAUACGAUACACCAAAGCAAGAAAUGUAGGGGUGGAGAAAAAAUAAGAAGAAAGAAAGAAGAAACUAAUCAGGAUGAGAAGAACGAAAUUUAAUACCUGAUGUCCUCUUUAAAGCCAAGCGUGCUAUGGCCCAUGAAACAUUUUUUAGCUUGACUUUUUUGUCCUGUCAAAGAGGUAAAUAAAGGGUUCAAAGGCAAGGUAAUUGAAGCAGGCAGUCUCCGGAAAUAAUCCACUGCUUUUGAUCGAUUGAGGAACACGAGAAAUGACAAACCUUCUUACUGCUUACUUGGUCAUCACUAUCUUCAUCAGAUGAUGAGGACUCG
rnacentral:lncRNA from 1 species